GACGAACGCUGGCGGCGUGCCUAAUACAUGCAAGUCGAACGCAGUGGGGACGGGUGAGUAACACGUGGGUAACCUCCCAUCAGAGGGGAUAACACUUGGAAACAGGUGCUAAACCGAUACUGAUGGAUGGUCUCGCGGUGCAUUAGCUAGUGGGUGAGGUAACGGCUCACCAAGGCCACGAUGCAUCGCCGGGCGGGGAGGGUGAUCGGCCACACUGGGAAUGAGACACGGCCCAAACGCCUACGGGAGGCAGCAGUAGGGAAUCUUCGGCAAUGGACGAAAGUCUGACCGAGCAACGCCGCGUGAGUGAAGAAGGUUUUCUGAUCGGAAAACUCUGUUGUUAGGGGAGCGGUAUCUAACCAGAAAGCCACGGCUAACUACGUGCCAGCCGCCGGGGUAAUUC
rnacentral:rRNA from 1 species